rnacentral:rRNA from 1 species
AUUGAACGCUGGCGGCAGGCCUAACACAUGCAAGUCGAGCGGAUGAAGGGAGCUUGCUCCCUGAUUUAGCGGCGGACGGGUGAGUAAUGCCUAGGAAUCUGCCUGGUAGUGGGGGACAACGUUUCUAAAGGAACGCUAAUACCGCAUACGUCCUACGGGAGAAAGUGGGGGAUCUUCGGACCUCACGCUAUCAGAUGAGCCUAGGUCGGAUUAGCUAGUUGGUGAGGUAAAGGCUCACCAAGGCGACGAUCCGUAACUGGUCUGAGAGGAUGAUCAGUCACACUGGAACUGAGACACGGUCCAGACUCCUACGGGAGGCAGCAGUGGGGAAUAUUGGACAAUGGGCGAAAGCCUGAUCCAGCCAUGCCGCGUGUGUGAAGAAGGUCUUCGGAUUGUAAAGCACUUUAAGUUGGGAGGAAGGGCAGUAAGUUAAUACCUUGCUGUUUUGACGUUACCAACAGAAUAAGCACCGGCUAACUUCGUGCCAGCCGCCGCCGUAA